rnacentral:rRNA from 1 species
AACGAACGCUGGCGGCGUGCCUAACACAUGCAAGUCGAACGAGAAAGCUCUUCGGAGUGAGUAGAGUGGCGCACGGGUGAGUAAUGCGUGGGAACGUGCCUUUAGGUGGGGAAUAACCAGUGGAAACGCUGGCUAAGACCGCAUAGUCUGGAAACAGUAAAAUAGGCUUCUAACCAAGUCCCUAAUCAUAUCUUCUAAUAAGAAGACUUGAUUAGUGACUUGGUAAGCUUAUGCCUGAAGAUCGGCCCACGUCGCAUUAGCUUGUUGGUAGGGUAAUGGCCUACCAAGGCUACGAUGCGUAGCUGGUUUGAGAGGAUGAUCAGCCACACUGGAACUGAGACACGGUCCAG